rnacentral:snRNA from 1 species
GGAUGAGAGGGUGAUCUGGCGAGAACAUCUGUCACCACAUUGAUCACCUCGGCUGACUUCGCUGGCGUGGCUGGCCAGGAAGGUACCUCCUUGCUCACCCACCAAUCCACGUGCAUCCCUCCUGAAGCUGCACGCCAGGCUCAGGUGGACAGACCUCUCUGAAUAGAAGAGGCUGCUCUUACGCCAAGCAUGUACGAAUAGCUGCAUUCCCUAAUUGAAUCUCUAAAAAAAAAAAAGCUCUCAAAAAGAAGAAAAACAAAUAUCAGGUAU